AAGAAAGUAAGAAAGGGCGUAUGGCGGAUGCCUAGGCUCACGGAGGCGAUGAAGGACGUGAUAAGCUGCGAUAAGCUUCGGGUAGGUGCAAAUAACCCUUGAUCCGGAGAUUUCCGAAUGGGACAACCUAGCCGUCUGAAGGACGGUUACUCUUACCAGUGUAAGAGAGCUAACGCAGGGAACUGAAACAUCUUAGUACCUGCAGGAAGAGAAAAUAAAUGAAUGAUUCCCCCAGUAGUGGCGAGCGAACGGGGAACAGCCCAAACCAGUGGCGUCGCAAGGCGUGGCUGGGGUUGUAGGACCGCGACAUUGUACUGAAAUGGUGAGUGGAAGUAUCUGGAAAGUUACAUCACAGAAGGUGAUAAUCCUGUACACGAAGCCAGAUCAGGCAUAGCGGUAUCCUGAGUAACGCGGGACACGAGGAAUCCUGCGCGAAUCUGCCGGGACCAUCCGGUAAGGCUAAAUACUCCCGUGAGACCGAUAGCGAACGAGUACUGUGAAGGAAAGGUGAAAAGAACCCCGAGCAGGGGAGUGAAAUAGUUCCUGAAACCAUACGCCUACAAGCGGUCGGAGCAUCUU
rnacentral:rRNA from 1 species